rnacentral:lncRNA from 1 species
GCAUUUGGCAGGCUGACGAGCAGCGAGGGGCAGCAUCCUGGAGGGAGGAGGGGUGCAGCUCGCCCGCGCGCCGCCGGCAGGUUUCCUCCCGGCCUGGAAGACCUCCGGCACCCGCCACUCGGCCUCCCGGCGCGCUAACCUUGCCCAGCCAGCAGACCUGCUUAGAGCAUCCAAUCGCAUGCGGGGCCUGCUUAGGGUCAGAGAGUUUAUUCCUUCACCAUAGGUUCCAGAGAAAGCUAUCCCCAGAUGCAAGUGAUUGCUAGGAAGUAGAAAAGGGAGCCCUACGUUGUGGAAGGAAGACAACAGUAUAGGACCAUCAGCAGGACCGGACAGAGAGGGGCACCCCUGGCUGUCCUGGAACUUGUAGACCAGGCUGGCCUUGAACUCAGAAAUCCGCCUGCCUCUGACUCCCGAGUGCUGAGAUUAAAGGUGUGCACCACCACACCCGACAAGGAAGCCUGUUUUAAGAAGUGAUUCCAUGGAGGAGUUCUGCGGCGGCUCAGGGCUUGACUAAACAGUGGACCUCAGACAAGAGAGGCUAAACCAGGCUGCAGGUGACAGGAAGAAUUGAAUAAACUGAAAGCAAAGGGCAGCCUUCUAAUUACGCUUCGUGGCUAUGUGGACAACCUGGAGAAGUCUGGAAACAAGCCAGAAGCCCGAAGCCAGCAGUAGAGCUCUGACUGGCUUGUAUGCCUAGAAAGGAAGGGCUCUUCUUUCGCCUCACGGGCACAAAUGGGACCCACGAGCGCCGAUUUCAGACUAUUCUGAUCCCUUCAAAAAGAAAGUUAGGAGUCCAGGCUACUGUGAGUGAAUUUGAUUCUAAUUGUUUCAGAGAAUAUGGAAUAAAAUAUCUCAUUUGCAGUU